UACGAAGGGGGCUAGCGUUGCUCGGAAUCACUGGGCGUAAAGGGUGCGUAGGCGGGUCUUUAAGUCAGGGGUGAAAUCCUGGAGCUCAACUCCAGAACUGCCUUUGAUACUGAAGAUCUUGAGUUCGGGAGAGGUGAGUGGAACUGCGAGUGUAGAGGUGAAAUUCGUAGAUAUUCGCAAGAACACCAGUGGCGAAGGCGGCUCACUGGACCGAUACUGACGCUGAGGCACGAAAGCGUGGGGAGAAAACAGG
rnacentral:rRNA from 1 species